UACGAAGGGGGCUAGCGUUGCUCGGAAUCACUGGGCGUAAAGCGCACGUAGGCGGCUUUCUAAGUCAGGGGUGAAAUCCUGGAGCUCAACUCCAGAACUGCCUUUGAUACUGGAGAGCUCGAGUCCGGAAGAGGUGAGUGGAACUGCGAGUGUAGAGGUGAAAUUCGUAGAUAUUCGCAAGAACACCAGUGGCGAAGGCGGCCGGCUGGGGGUGCCCUGACGCUGAGGCGCGAAAGCGUGGGGAGCGAACCGG
rnacentral:rRNA from 1 species